GUCUAAAUUAAUAUUUUACAUUAAUAAUAUGCUUGAUAUGUAAUAUUUUAUUUCAUCAAUUUGAUGUUAAGUAUAUAAAGAAACUAUUAUGGAUAAUUUAGCAGUGUAUGAUAGAAAUAUAUAAUAUUUGGUAUACACCGAUUAAGUUCUUUGGUAAAUCAAAUUAAAAAACGAAGUUAAUUGAAAUAUCUUAGUAACUUCAGGAAAAUAAAUCAAAUGAGAUUUUCUUUUUAAUUAAAAGUUAAUAAGGAAAUAGCCUUUAAAGUAAAACGGAUAAAAUCUGUUUGAAUCUAGGGAAACCUUUCUCUAAGGCUAAAUAUCAUACACUAGCAAUAGUGAAUAGUACCGUAAGGGAAAUUUUUGAAAUAGUAGGUUUAUAAGCAGCUCAAAUUUAAUAUAAUAAAUAAACAAGAGCGUACCUUUUGCAUAAUGGGUCAGCAAGUUAAUAUUAGGUGCGAGAUUAAGUUAAAACUUAGUCCUAGACAAACCAAUUAUUAAAUAAUGAAUUAGUACCUGGUGUUAGACCCGAAGCCUAGUGAUCUUACCAUGAUCAGGGUUAUAAAAGCUCGAACAGGUUAUCGUUGUAAAGAUAUCUGAGGAAUUGUGGUAAGUUAGUGAAAGACAAAACUGACUAGGAUAGCUGGUUUUCUGCGAAACCUAUAUAAGUAGGUAGUUUAAAUAAUAUCAUUACAGGUACAGAAUUGUGAUCUCAGAUAAAUUUUAAUCUAUAUAUUAAACCUAUAUAGUUAGUUUAUAUACAUUGGGGGAUCGUGAAGAUUUUAUCAGUGAGAAUUUGCUCUCGGAAGGGUAAUGAUAAAUAUUAAAUUGUCAGACAUAGUACGAUAAGGUUGUAUGUCUAAAGGGAAACAGCCCAGAACAAGAGUUAAGGUUCCAAAAUUAUUGUUAAGUGAAAUUAAGGGAGUUUUUUUCAAAUACAACCAGGAAAUAGGCUUAGAAGCGGCCAUUUUUUAAAGACCUCGUAACAGAGCACUAGUUUAUUAUUGUAAAAAUAGCAAAAACAAUCGAAAGAAAGUAAAGUUAAACGCACCGAAAAUUUAACGGAUCUAAACUAUAUACCGAAACCUUGUGCACAAAUAAAAUUUUUGGUAUAAGUUAUCAAGUUUAUAUUUGUGAGGUAGCAGAACGUUGAGUUGUUUAACACCUAGUAUCAUUGAUAUUAAUAGCUAUAUUGCAUAAAGUAAUGUACAAACAAUCUCAAGUGAAAAUGCUGACAUGAGUAACGAAAAAGGGAAAAUCCCCUCGCCUUAAGCUUAUGGUAUUUUAUUUAAUUGCGGCCCCUAAAUUUAUUAAUCUUACCUAAAGGAUUGAAUGAUGGGAAAAUAAUUGUUCUAUAUUACAACCUUUUAGGUUCUGGAAAAAAAUAUAUUACACAAAACCGUACCUAGAAACUACCUCAAGUAAGCAAGUAGAGUAUACAAAGGCGUUUGAGAUAACAAUCAUUAAGGAACUCGGCAAAUUGACACCGUAACUUUGGGAUAAGGUGUGCCAUUAUAUUAUGACAAAAUAGAAAUAUAUAAGUUUGUCAUACGUAUAAUAGGAGACAUAGAAUGGUGUUGUACGACUGUUUAAUUAAAACAAAGCACUUUGCAUAAGAUAUAAAUCGAAGUAUUGAGUGUGAUUUCUGCCCGAUGUUGGCUGGUUAACGGAUUUUCUUAGUAUAAAUUGUAUGCUAGGUUUUGAAGGAAACCCCAAUCAAUGGCGGCCUUACCGAUGAGGGUCCUAAGGUAGCGGAAUACCCUGGCCGUUAAAUGCGGUCUUGCAUGAAUGAUUUAACGAUACAACAGCUGUCUCGAUGAUUGUCUCAGUGAAAUUGGAAUAACUGUGCAGAUACAGUUUUCUCCUAGUUAGACGAGAAGACCCUAUGCAGCUUUACUAUUUGUAGUUAUUGAAUAUGAUAUAACAAGUUGUAGAGUAUAAGGUAAUUGAUAAUUUAACAUUGAAACACCUUUACUUAGUGUAUCAUAUUAUUAGAAAAAUAAUCUAAAAAAUUGUUGAUUUUUUGGUCUAGUAGCUUAACUUUAAGAAAUAGCAUGUAUAUGUUUAUCUUUUUAAGGUAACUAUAUAUAAGUGACAUUGACUAUUAGAUAGUUUAUGCGGGGCACAGAUCCCAUAAAUAGUACCUGGGUGUAUCCAAAGUUAAUAUUGUAAAUUUAUUUUUUAUAAUGUAGUUUUUUGUUACUUUGUUUUAUAUAAAUACAAACGAUAACAAUAAAAUUAUACGUUUUAAUUUGUAAUAAAUUAAAUUUUAAUUUAUUCAACUAUAAUUCUAUUAAGUUAGAUUAAUUAUAUUUUUUAAGUAAGGUUUUUACUAUAUGGAAAAUAGAUGUUAAUAAAUCAUCUUAAAAUUAGAUGAUUUAAUUUGUUUUACAGUACAACAUUUAUUGUACUGUAAAAUGAUUAUUUAUAUAACUAGAAAAGUUUAAUGGCUUAACCUUGCUUUACUGUUUGACUUACAUGUCUAUCAGUCGCGUAAGCGGGGCAUACGAUCACAAGAUGCAGAAAGGAAAGGUCUUGGAUUUUUGAAAAAGCUACGCUAGGGAUAACAGGCUAAUUGCGCAAGAGAGUACAAAUUGAGUGCGCAGUUUGGCACCUCGAUGUCGGCUUAGCUCAUCCACAUGAAUGUAGGAAUCAUGAAGGGUACGACUGUUCGUCGGUUAAAGAGCUACACGAGCUGGGUUAAAUACGUCGUGAGACAGUAUGGUUUCUAUCUUCUAGGAGUAAUUAGAGUAAAACAAGGAUAGCCCCUUCGUACGAAAGGAGUUGGGUAUAUUAACCUCUAGUUUAUUUGUUGUUUUGUAUAUAUAAAUAAAGUUCUAUAACAGAUUGAAAAGACGCCUUUAAAGAUUCAUUAAUAAUCUUUAUAACCAGGUUGCAAAAGGCACGGCAAUAAAGCUACGUUAGUUAUAAAUAAAUGCUGAAUGCAUAUAGGCAUGAAGUUUACCUUGGUAUAUUCUUAAAUAUACGUGGUACAAUACUACGAAUUAUAAAUUGUUUAAUUUAUAAUUGUAUAGGCUUUGACUUAAAUAAUUUUGAUGUUUUAAGGUACAAAGUACUAAUU
rnacentral:rRNA from 1 species